CCAAGCCUGUUACAUAUCCUAUUUUAACAUAUAAAAAUGAAGACAGUUUCAUUUGUUUUGUAUAUAUGAGUAUAGUUUAAGCGAUUUUCUGUUCCGAACAUUUGCCGACAGGCAUGUGUUGAGUUGUCAGGCGAUUAUUCUAAUAGUUCCUAUAGAUACCACUGUAAAAAAGAGCAGGGAUAAAUUCCAUUGCGAAUACAUUUAAGGUCAGAGCAAAUUGUGUUAAAAAUGUAAACGCUUUUACAGGGAGAAAACGACAUGCUUUAUUUGAUGUGUGUUAAGUAAUGUUGUGUUGAUAUUAACCGUGGUUAUGAACAUGGCUGGAAGAUCUGAUAAAGGAAGUAAAAAUGUUGAUGAACACAGCGUGGAGACAUUGGCAGAGGUUUUUCGUUGCUUCAUUUGUAUGGAGAAGCUGAGGGAUGCCCAUCUCUGCCCUCAUUGUUCCAAAUUGUGUUGUUAUGUGUGCAUUCGCCGAUGGCUUACAGAACAACGUUCACAGUGCCCUCACUGUCGAGCAUCACUUCAUCUUCAUGAAUUGGUCAAUUGUCGUUGGGUUGAAGAGGUGACACAGCAGUUGGAUACUCUGCAAGCAGUUGGGCUAACAAGCAUUCGUGUUGAUGACUGUGAUAGAGACAGAUGUGAAAGCCAUCAAGAAAAACUGUCUGUCUACUGCUGGACUUGUAGACGGUGCAUCUGUCAUCAGUGUGCUCUCUGGGGUGGUACGCAUUCAGGGCAUACCUUCAAACCUUUGGAAGAAGUUUAUGAACAACAUACUACUCAGAUCAAAGAUGAAGUGGCACAGUUGAGACGCAGGCUGAUGGAAUUAAUCAGUUUAGUACAGGAAGUGGAACGUAAUGUGGAAUCUGUACGUGCUGCCAAAGAUGAGCGUGUACGUGAAAUACGUAAUGCAGUGGAGCUGAUGAUUGCUCGCCUGGAUUCUCAACUUAAGGCUAAGCUACUCACACUAAUGGGUCAGAAAAAUUCACUAACACAGGAAACAGAACAGUUAGAAGCUUUGCUCCAAGAAAUUGAACACCAGCUGAAUUCUUGUACACGCUCUGAACUUAUCACAAAGAGUGGUGACCUUUUACGUAUGAUCUAUCAAGUACGGAAGAAGCCUAUGGCAAGCUUUGUAACUGCAGCUGUACCUGCGGAUUUCCAGAGUGAGAUUGUCCCUGGCUACGACAGUAGUACUUUCAUAAUGCAGCAGUUUACGCAAUUGCAACAUAAGGCUGAUCCUGUAUAUUCAACACCUCUACAUGUGAAUGGAUUAUGUUGGAGACUUAAAGUGUAUCCUGAUGGUAAUGGGGUUGUUCGAGGGAAUUAUUUAUCUGUUUUCUUGGAGCUCAGUGCUGGGCUACCUGAAACAUCAAAAUACGAAUAUCGUGUGGAAAUGAUUCAUCAAGGCUCUCGAGAUGCUAGUAAAAACAUUGUCAGGGAAUUUGCUUCUGAUUUUGAAAUUGGAGAGUGUUGGGGUUAUAAUCGUUUCUUUCGUUUGGAUUUACUGGCUAGUGAAGGCUAUCUCAACACUGAAAUUGACACACUCAUAUUAAGGUUUCAAGUGCGUCCUCCAACAUUUUUCCAGCGCUGUCGAGACCAGCAUUGGUACAUUAGUCAGCUGUUAACAGUACAGAAUCAGUAUGUUACACAAAUCAAUGAAUUAAAAGAGAGACUUGCUAUUGAAAUCUCUCGGAGUAAUGUGACUGCCACUCGUGCUAAUGGCAGUAAUGUUCCUGACAAUGCUAUCAACUCAGGAACUUCUGGAAGUGUCAUUUCACCUGUUAGUGGUAACUCUGUAUUGAACAUACAUCUGCUGGAGCCUUCUGCAUUGUCUGGAUCCUUGCCAUUAAGGACACCAGAUGCUGUGAAUGCAGCUGCUGUACCUAACACAUCAACUAAUCCCUCUUGCCACUUAAUAAACAUCCCAGUGCAACCAAAUGAUUCAUCUGCUCAUGCUCUGUCAAGCUCUUCUUGCCCUCGAGGUGGCAAGAAUGUAAAUUCUAAUGUAGUAGCACCAAGAAGACAGCAGCACCAUGGUAACGGUAGUAGUUCACCUGAUAGCAAGGAUAGUCAUCACAUGGUACCUCUCACCACAUCUGUUUCAUCUCUGAAUCUGCUUAACACUGCUGUAGUUUUGUCCAGUUGCAGCAGUAGUGAAAGUGAGUAUAUGAGUGAACCCGAAGGAUAUAAUGAUGAUUCUGAGAACCAUAAUACAACUAUUGGUACUGCGGAAGAAAAUUCCAAUGAUGAGAAUGAUGUUGAUGAUGAAACUAUGUCAGGAGAAAAUGAUGUGGAAUAUUCAUUGGCUGCUCAGUCAGUUCUGUUCAGAGAACGAGAAGCAGUGACAGAUCAAAGUACUGGGCAUGCAGGAAUGUCAAGAAACACACUGUCAGAGAGUCUUGAGGAUGAAAUAAUGCUUCUUCACCUGUUUGAAAUGCAAGAUCGAAAUAAUUCUACCAUUUCUGAAUCGUCACCUUGGACAGCAUCACCCUACAAUAAAGCUAGGUCUGGGUUUAAAAGUUCACAAGGCAGUCGCACUGUAAAACAUACAUUUGUGACUGAUAGAGGUGUUCUGGAUACAGUGGAGUUGGACGUGGCACAGUUGGUAUCUGGUCGAUCGAAUUCAAAUCAUGAAGGAGCCCAGAGUUCAAGUGGACCAGAGGGUCUGGCCAGCAACUCCUCUAGUUCAUCUCAUACAAAAUCAGGCUGUGGUGUCCAUCUCACAGCACCAAAAGUUUCAUUAGGAGCUUCUCGGAAUGUACUUGCUCCAAGGCAAGCAGUGGCCCUUAGUAGACAGGGUCAGGCCCCUGCUGCCACUUCAACACCAAGCCAUUUAAAACAUGCACAGUCUGAGUGGAUUGAACUAAAUUCGGGCCGAGAGGAACGUUUGUGGGCAUUCAAUAACUUGCUGCAGCAGUUACAUUUGUCACCAUUAAGCGAUGAUAGUGACAGUUCACCCAACACAGCCAUUCUUGUCACCAGACUUGGGAAAAUCUCUGAAACAUCUACAAAUGUGAACAGGGACCACUCCCCAUCACCUCCUAAGCAACCACAUUCCCAGGGUUCAUACCCACAAAUAAGCAGAGAUACAUCAUCAUUGUUUAGUUGGACUCCACCACUUUUAUCUACUGUACAACAUGAGAGAGAUGGGUACACCCAGGAAAGAGAAUGACAAUGGAGGAAGGAACCAACCUGAAAAAGAGGAGGAGAAACAGAGAAAAGAUAACAGCUCAGCAGAUGACAGAAAUAAGCCUUCAGGAUCAUCUUGAUUUAACAUUGCAUGUUAAAUUUCUGUAUUAUUAAGUUUCACAUGUAUUUAAAAUCAUAACAGAAUCUCAAAUAUUUGUUGACAUCGCAUAUUACAGGUAAACAGUAUUGUAUCAAAAGGCCUGUGUCAUGUAUUAAUUUGGUGUAUUGGAAUUUGCUGGUUAUCUUCUAUAUUGUAAGUUUUCCAGCACAAAGGUGAAGCUAAUUUUUAUUACUUCAUUAAGUAAUUUCAGUCUGAAUUUACAGUGUUUUUGUAUUAAAGAACAGAUUAUUUUUGAGUGUCCCACUGAUCACUGAACCUCUCAGGUGGAAGAGCUGGAUGCUCCUCCUGUAACACUGGCCCGCAGACAUUCAGAUUGCUAGCGAAACUAACAAACCCACAGACUAAACAUAAAAAAUGAAACUUACCCCAAUUACAGAAGGUAUUGGAAGUUCUCUCCAUUCUGAACACAUCCCUGACACCCCAGUAAAAGGUUAACAUUUGCUCUAUUAGCAAGCACAAUUACAGUUCAUGUACUGCUGUCAAAAGUGAUUUCAGUUUUAGGAGUUUUGUGGUAGUUUGUGCUGAUGAUUUUGAAGCCUUGUUCUCUUAUUUGAACAUGUGAGGGAUUUGCCUUUCAAGCUUAGCACUGUUUUUCCCGUUUCUCUUCAGUAUUGAUCAUGUCUAAAUUUAUUUACAGUUCUGUAAAUAAUGGUACAACACAGAAUUAUAACCUCCUGAUGUUUUUGCCACAACCUCUUCUCUAACUUUUUUUGGUAGUUACUUUUCACAUAGGUAUCAUACAUGAACAUUCUUUGUUCCCAUGUGUAUCACACAGGCAAAGUACAAUAGUGUGAUUCAAAGCAACAUGGGGCUUGGCUUCUAGGAUUUUACUAGCCCAUAGUACACAAACUCACUUCAUGGUAGCUGUUCUGCGAUUUGCUGGGAAACAGGUUAAACCUCACUGUACAAAGUGUGUACUUCAUGUCUGUAAAGCAGCAGAAAAAUCAUGUAUUUAACCAUUGCUCAGGUCCAGAAAUUAUUGCAUGUUAGUUAAAUAACCACAAGACCAUUAGUAACUAAUUUGAUUUGAUACGAUGACUGUAAUAUGCAUAGCAAGUGAAACACUGCCACUUUAUCUUGUCAAAUAAAUUUCAGUGUUUGUGCUGUAAUAGCUAAAUUUAAACAGCUAUAAAUUUAUUUUGUGUGAUGAUACAUUAUUAGCUACAGCAUGAGUAAUCUAAUUCUGUAUGCCCUAUGUUAAAAAAGACAAUGCGUUGUUCAUAUUGCAAUAUAUUUUCAACAUAACUUUUACUUUUAGUUAUUGAAUGUAAGACUGAUAUCAGAAAUGGUUAAAUAAAAUUGCCAACUAUUCUAAAAUGUUAACAUUCAUCUGAACAAUAAUUGAUGGUACGUGCCCAUUAUAGGAUAUUAUUUCUUUGUUGGAAUGGACAAAAUUGUGAAGGUUUCAGUGUAUAAGGAAAUAUAAGCUGUGUAGGAUUUGAGAAAUAUAAGCUUUAAUGUUAGGAAGGCUGUUGUGUAAUAUGUUCUGUUCCAUACAAAGCAGGUGAAACAGUCACAAUUUAUUAAAAGCACAUAAUAUUUUAAAGUGACACUAUUUAUUAAACAAGUGUGUAUAGUUUCUGUUACUGGUAUUGUUGUUAGGUGGUGAUAGAAGAACAAACUGGCUGUGUGUUUCAACUGAAUAAUCUUUCUUACAUUAACAGAAUCAGAAUCCACCUUUGUGAGUGACUAGUGAAGUGGUCUCAGUCAAGGCCCACAAGAUAUAAAAGGCUUUUUUUUGCAAGGACUUUAAUUUGGCAUGAAUAAUUGUAUUUUUAUAUUUUUUAACAUUUUGGUCAGCAUGCAUGGAGCAUUAUGAUCAGAAAUAAUCAUUAUUUGAUACCAGAACUGACUUCUGUUAUAGGUAGGACUAGUCCACAUUACUGAACUUUGCAUAGAAUAAAAUAUAUUAAGUUCGCUGA